UCACCCGGGAGGAGUGGGAGCUUUUAUCCCAACCAGAGAAGCAGCUGUACCGGGACCAGAUGCUGAGGAAUUAUUGGGCCCUCGUUUCCCUGGGCUCUUCAGGUUCCAAACCGGACUUAAUCCACCGGAUCGAGAUAGGGGAGGCAGAACUCUGGAUCUGGGAUGCCGAGGGCUCCAGGAUAAACUCUGGGCCUGAGAGCCCCCCCUCAGUAUUUAAAAUGAACAACGGUGAAAUCAAAAGAAAAAGGUCUGCUUAUCACGCAGCGUUCAAACUUAAAGUUGUUGAAUAUGCAGAAGCAAACAAUAAUUGCGCCGCUGCUCGUGAAUUCUGUAUUAAUGAGAAGCAAGUAAGAGAAUGGCGAAAAAAUAAAACAACACUAAAAGACAUGCCAAGAAGCAAGAAAAAAUGUCCAACGAGGUGCGCUUCAUUUCCUGAGCUAGAGAAAGAUCUCAAUAAUUGGGUUGUUGAAUGUCGACAAAAUGGGUACAUUGUCACUAGAACGGGAAUUCGUCUGCGUGCUCUGCAAAUGUCGAAAGACGACAAGUACAAGUCAGUAAAGCCGUCAAUGUUUGUCGCAUCAGCGGGUUGGUGUACUCGCUUCAUGAACCGUCACGGUCUCUGUCUUUGUCAGCGAACAAAGAUAGCGCAAAAGCUGCCGAGAGAUCUGGAAGAAAAAAUCGAAUCUUUCCAAAGGUUUAUUAUAAAAUAUCGAAAGGAAUAUGCAUUUGAACUGUCACAAAUAGGAAAUAUGGAUGAAACACCAAUGACAUUCGAUCUCCCGAGCAACAGAACGGUAACUGGUGUUGGUGAAAAAACAGUUUUAAUUAAAACCACUGGCCAUGAAAAAAUCUAUUUUACAGUGGUUUUAUCGUGUUUGGCAAAUGGAUCAAAGCUCCCUCCUGUUGUUAUUUUUAAAAGAAAAACCUUGCCUAAAAACAUGAAAUUUCCUGCUGGUGUCAUCAUACGUGCACACGAAAAGGGAUGGAUGGAUGAAAAUGGGACUAUUGAAUGGCUGGAAAAAGUGUGGAAUAAGAGACCAGGAGCACUUUUCAAGAAACCUGCUAUGCUCGUUUGGGACAUGUUCAGGGCACACAAGACUGAUGAGGUGAAAAAUGUGGCCAAAAAUAUGAAAACUACUUUGGCUGUAGUACCUGGAGGCUUAACUUCAGUUCUACAACCGCUUGAUGUCUGCCUGAACAAACUCUUUAAAGACAGGCUACGCAAAAUGUGGUCUGAAUGGAUGUGCUCAGGCAUGGCAAAGUUGACAAAAGGCGGGAAUCUUAUGAAGCCCGAAAUCAAUCUGGUCGCCCAGUGGAUCAAGGACGCGUGGGUAUCCAUUCCUUCGGAAAUGGUAGAAAAAUCAUUUAGGAAAUGCUGUAUCAGUAAUGCACUCGACGGGUCAGAAGAUGAUGCCAUAUUUGAUGACGCAAGAGAGGCUGCUGAUGAGAAGGAAUCCGAGUCUGAAGAUGACACUGCCAACAUCUACGAUGACAAUGCAGGUGCAGCUGUGACUGAAGCUGAGUUUAAUGAACUGUUUGGUGAAUCAGAGACUAAUUCAGACUUCGAAGGAUUUUAAGACUUUUUAAAGUCUCAUAUUGUUCUAAGUUACUUGUUUUAAAUAUCCAUUUACUGAUUUUAAAUAUUGACUGUAAUUUUGAAGGUGAAUACAUAUUUGUUCAGUUAUUAUUAUAACAACAACACGUUUUUCAUUAGAUUACAUUAAAAUAAU